UGUAUUCUCCGUAUAAAUGUACGUAUAUGAAUUGAAUGACCUGAUCAAAGAUCCCGCGCUUGCCAAUCUCACCCCAGAAACCGAGGCAAGAGACCGCCACGACGCUGGUGAUCCCGGACGCGCAGACAUCCGAUAGUACCGAAUUAUCCGGAAACAUGACGGCGAAUGAAGACGUUAGACUCCUGUGAGAAGGAGCCCUGCGGAGCAGCGUGGAGGUUGUUGAUCUAAGGGUAGUUGUAGGCGAGAUUGGAAGAGUUAGGAAUCGUGGAAUCGGAGAGAAGAAGCAAGAAGAAGAGUCCACGAGGAGAAGGGAGGAGAUGCUCUUAGUAGCAGCCAUUUUUAAUCUGCUAAAUAUCCCAACAACGACAAAACAACUUUUCAUCAAACAAAUUUUUUUUUUAAUUAUUGCUUUAGAUUUUUUUUUUUUGACAUCAUAUUGGUACUGUUACUUUGCUCGUUGUUGCUUGGAUAUUUUAUUUUCUUUCUUCCAUAUGUUCAAACAGUGUAUGUGGUCAAAUCUAACGUUUUUUACUGUGUU